UGAGAGGCAGCCUACAGAGUGAAACUCCGU
rnacentral:piRNA from 1 species